rnacentral:rRNA from 1 species
UACGUAGGGGGCAAGCGUUGGUCCGGAUUUAUUGGGCGUAAAGAGCGUGUAGGCGGCUUGGUAGGUCCGCUGUGAAAACUCGAGGCUCAACCUCGAGAUGUCGGCGGAAACCACUUGGCUAGAGUCCGGAAGAGGAGAGUGGAAUUCCUGGUGUAGCGGUGAAAUGCGCAGAUAUCAGGAAGAACACCUAUGGCGAAGGCAGCUCUCUGGGACGGUACUGACGCUGAGACGCGAAAGCGUGGGGAGCGAACAGG